GUCGGUGUAGCUCAAUGGUAGAGCAGCGGCUUCCAAUCCCGAAGACGUGGGUUCGAUUCCUACCACCGAUGCCA
rnacentral:tRNA from 1 species